rnacentral:rRNA from 1 species
UACGGAAUGUGCAAACGUUAUUCGGAAUCACUGGGCUUAAAGAGUCCGUAGGCGGCAUGUUAGGUGAGGUGUGAAAUCCCCCGGCUCAACCGAGGAAUUGCGCUUCAAACCGGCGUGCUUGAGGAAGAUAGAGGUGGGCGGAACUGAUGGUGGAGCGGUGAAAUGCGUUGAUAUCAUCAGGAAUACCGGAGGCGAAGGCGGCUCACUGGGGGUUUUCUGACGCUGAGGAACGAAAGCCAGGGGAGCGAACGGG